GCGAACCGGGGGAACUGAAACAUCUAAGUACCCCGAGGAAAAGAAAUCAACCGAGAUUCCCCCAGUAGCGGCGAGCGAACGGGGAGCAGCCCAGAGCCUGAAUCAGUGUGUGUGUUAGUGGAAGCGUCUGGAAAGGCGCGCGAUACAGGGUGACAGCCCCGUACACAAAAAUGCACAUGCUGUGAGCUCGAUGAGUAGGGCGGGACACGUGGUAUCCUGUCUGAAUAUGGGGGGACCAUCCUCCAAGGCUAAAUACUCCUGACUGACCGAUAGUGAACCAGUACCGUGAGGGAAAGGCGAAAAGAACCCCGGCGAGGGGAGUGAAAAAGAACCUGAAACCGUGUACGUACAAGCAGUGGGAGCACGCUUAGGCGUGUGACUGCGUACCUUUUGUAUAAUGGGUCAGCGACUUAUAUUCUGUAGCAAGGUUAACCGAAUAGGGGAGCCGAAGGGAAACCGAGUCUUAACUGGGCGUUAAGUUGCAGGGUAUAGACCCGAAACCCGGUGAUCUAGCCAUGGGCAGGUUGAAGGUUGGGUAACACUAACUGGAGGACCGAACCGACUAAUGUUGAAAAAUUAGCGGAUGACUUGUGGCUGGGGGUGAAAGGCCAAUCAAACCGGGAGAUAGCUGGUUCUCCCCGAAAGCUAUUUAGGUAGCGCCUCGUGAAUUCAUCUCCGGGGGUAGAGCACUGUUUCGGCAAGGGGGUCAUCCCGACUUACCAACCCGAUGCAAACUGCGAAUACCGGAGAAUGUUAUCACGGGAGACACACGGCGGGUGCUAACGUCCGUCGUGAAGAGGGAAACAACCCAGACCGCCAGCUAAGGUCCCAAAGUCAUGGUUAAGUGGGAAACGAUGUGGGAAGGCCCAGACAGCCAGGAUGUUGGCUUAGAAGCAGCCAUCAUUUAAAGAAAGCGUAAUAGCUCACUGGUCGAGUCGGCCUGCGCGGAAGAUGUAACGGGGCUAAACCAUGCACCGAAGCUGCGGCAGCGACGCUGAUGCGUUGUUGGGUAGGGGAGCGUUCUGUAAGCCUGUGAAGGUGUGCUGUGAGGCAUGCUGGAGGUAUCAGAAGUGCGAAUGCUGACAUAAGUAACGAUAAAGCGGGUGAAAAGCCCGCUCGCCGGAAGACCAAGGGUUCCUGUCCAACGUUAAUCGGGGCAGGGUGAGUCGACCCCUAAGGCGAGGCCGAAAGGCGUAGUCGAUGGGAAACAGGUUAAUAUUCCUGUACUUGGUGUUACUGCGAAGGGGGGACGGAGAAGGCUAUGUUGGCCGGGCGACGGUUGUCCCGGUUUAAGCGUGUAGGCUGGUUUUCCAGGCAAAUCCGGAAAAUCAAGGCUGAGGCGUGAUGACGAGGCACUACGGUGCUGAAGCAACAAAUGCCCUGCUUCCAGGAAAAGCCUCUAAGCAUCAGGUAACAUCAAAUCGUACCCCAAACCGACACAGGUGGUCAGGUAGAGAAUACCAAGGCGCUUGAGAGAACUCGGGUGAAGGAACUAGGCAAAAUGGUGCCGUAACUUCGGGAGAAGGCACGCUGAUAUGUAGGUGAAGUCCCUCGCGGAUGGAGCUGAAAUCAGUCGAAGAUACCAGCUGGCUGCAACUGUUUAUUAAAAACACAGCACUGUGCAAACACGAAAGUGGACGUAUACGGUGUGACGCCUGCCCGGUGCCGGAAGGUUAAUUGAUGGGGUCAGCGCAAGCGAAGCUCUUGAUCGAAGCCCCGGUAAACGGCGGCCGUAACUAUAACGGUCCUAAGGUAGCGAAAUUCCUUGUCGGGUAAGUUCCGACCUGCACGAAUGGCGUAAUGAUGGCCAGGCUGUCUCCACCCGAGACUCAGUGAAAUUGAACUCGCUGUGAAGAUGCAGUGUACCCGCGGCAAGACGGAAAGACCCCGUGAACCUUUACUAUAGCUUGACACUGAACAUUGAGCCUUGAUGUGUAGGAUAGGUGGGAGGCUUUGAAGUGUGGACGCCAGUCUGCAUGGAGCCGGCCUUGAAAUACCACCCUUUAAUGUUUGAUGUUCUAACGUUGACCCGUGAUCCGGGUUGCGGACAGUGUCUGGUGGGUAGUUUGACUGGGGCGGUCUCCUCCUAAAGAGUAACGGAGGAGCACGAAGGUUGGCUAAUCCUGGUCGGACAUCAGGAGGUUAGUGCAAUGGCAUAAGCCAGCUUGACUGCGAGCGUGACGGCGCGAGCAGGUGCGAAAGCAGGUCAUAGUGAUCCGGUGGUUCUGAAUGGAAGGGCCAUCGCUCAACGGAUAAAAGGUACUCCGGGGAUAACAGGCUGAUACCGCCCAAGAGUUCAUAUCGACGGCGGUGUUUGGCACCUCGAUGUCGGCUCAUCACAUCCUGGGGCUGAAGUAGGUCCCAAGGGUAUGGCUGUUCGCCAUUUAAAGUGGUACGCGAGCUGGGUUUAGAACGUCGUGAGACAGUUCGGUCCCUAUCUGCCGUGGGCGCUGGAGAACUGAGGGGGGCUGCUCCUAGUACGAGAGGACCGGAGUGGACGCAUCACUGGUGUUCGGGUUGUCAUGCCAAUGGCACUGCCCGGUAGCUAAAUGCGGAAGAGAUAAGUGCUGAAAGCAUCUAAGCACGAAACUUGCCCCGAGAUGAGUUCUCCCUGACUCCUUGAGAGUCCUGAAGGAACGUUGAAGACGACGACGUUGAUAGGCCGGGUGUGUAAGCGCAGCGAUGCGUUGAGCUAACCGGUACUAAUGAACCGUGAG
rnacentral:rRNA from 1 species